rnacentral:misc_RNA from 1 species
ACGCGCAGGCCGGAGGCCGGCCCCCCAGGAUAGGGCCAAACGUCCGUCAGGGGUGAGCAGAUGUGCGCCGGCCGUACCGCCCCAUUCUUGUCUACCUUACUCGGUUGCCUCGGCGGGCCGCGCUCUCCCAGGAGAGCCGUUCGGCGAGCCUCUCUUUAUAGCGGCUCAACGCUGGACCGCGCCCGCCGGAGGACAGACGCAAAAAAAAAUUCUUUCAGAAGAGCUGUCAGUCUGAGCGUUAGCAAGCAAAAAUCAGUUA